UGGGGAAUAUUGGACAAUGGGCGCAAGCCUGAUCCAGCCAUGCCGCGUGAGUGAUGAAGGCCCUAGGGUUGUAAAGCUCUUUCACCGGUGAAGAUAAUGACGGUAACCGGAGAAGAAGCCCCGGCUAACUUCGUGCCAGUAGCCGUGGUAAUACGAAGGGGGCUAGCGUUGUUCGGAUUUACUGGGCGUAAAGCGCACGUAGGCGGACUAUUAAGUCAGGGGUGAAAUCCCGGGGCUCAACCCCGGAACUGCCUUUGAUACUGGUAGUCUUGAGUUCGAGAGAGGUGAGUGGAAUUCCGAGUGUAGAGGUGAAAUUCGUAGAUAUUCGGAGGAACACCAGUGGCGAAGGCGGCUCACUGGCUCGAUACUGACGCUGAGGUGCGAAAGCGUGGGGAGCAAACAGG
rnacentral:rRNA from 1 species